AGAAGAGCUAACUCAUCAAUCAAUAGGUUACAGAGUGAUAUUUCCAACAUUUUACGUUGAAACAAUCUGUUGAUUCUACAUAUCAAUGCAUCUAGACAACAAAAUUGGUUACAUAUAGGAAAACUUUACAAUGACAACAAAAUAUAAGUUUAUUUUCCUGGAGUCACCUUCCGCGUGGCGACUUAUGAUAGGCCUUUAAUGGAGACGCAGAGGGUGUCACGCUGAGUGAUGAACGGUGUUUAAAUGGAGAAGCUGGAACUGAGCUAGAAGUGGCUCGAUGCUCAAUCUGAGAUAUUUUGUUAACGCCUUUCGGUGCUUGAAGCUGUUCAAGAGCAGCCAAAACUUCAGACAUCCGCGGCCUUAGCUUAGGCUCGUUGCUUAGACACUGCCAAGCAAGGUUAGCAGCUGUAUAUGCUCCUUUCUGAGGAUACUGUCCCUCUAGUUUAGUGUCCAUGAUUCGGAACAACCUCCUCUUGUCCCCAAGAUAUGGCUUUGCCCAAUCCACAAGAUUCUGCUCUACGCCAACCUUCAUUUUAUCGAGAGCACGACGCCCUGAUAAAAGUUCAAGCAAUACAACCCCGAAGCUGUAUACAUCACUUUUUGAUGUCAAUCGACCUGUAGCAACAUAUUCUGGAGCAGCAUAGCCCUGAGUACCGAUGACUUGAGUGGACACAUGAGUGCGAUCACCAGUUGGGCCGGCCUUGGCUAAACCAAAAUCAGACAACUUUGCAUUAAAUUCCCCGUCUAAGAGAAUAUUAGAAGCCUUAAAAUCCCGAUAUAUAACUUGUUCUUUAGCAUCAUGUAGGAAAGCAAGGCCUCUAGCAGCACCAAUAGCCACCUUAAUUCUUGUUGCCCAAUUCAGAGGUUGAGGUCCUCUUCUAAACAAAUGGUUCUCCAAGCUUCCUUUAGGCAUGAACUCAUACACUAAAAGGUGGUUAUCACCGUCGAUGCAAUAGCCAAUGAGUUUAACCAAAUUUGGAUGACGAAGUUGGCCGAGGUAAUUAACUUCAGUCAGCCACUCCUUGUGACCUUGAAAACCCUCUGGCUUCAAUUUUUUGACAGCAAUCACUAUUCCAGAACCAGGCUUUGAUGCAGUAAGAGUUUGCGCAUCGAUCCAUCCUUUAAAAACACAACCAAAUCCUCCUUCCCCAAGAAGACUGUCAGGUCUGAAAUUCCUUGUUGCAUUUUUCAGUUCAUUGAAUGAGAAGGAUUUGACAUUAGGAGAAUAUAAUAUUUCGCUUUCAGAUCUCGGAGUAGGAAUGCUUUCGGAACUACUUUUCCUACCAUAGGAUGGAAUACUUAGGCUUGAUGGAACAGAAGAAUUGCUUUUUUUGUCAGGAAAUCUUGAAGCUUCAUAAGCAGAAGGGGUAGUAGAGCUCAAAGUAGCUUCAACUCUAGCAGGGGAACCAACACAAUUGCCCAUCAAGAUUUUUUUUUGAAAAAACCCCACAAAAGAUCAAUCUUUUACAAGUCAAAAUCAAGUCUUGGGAGCAAUAUUUCAGCAAAAAAAGCUCAAAUCUUGAACAACCCAAAUACAAGAUAUUUCUGUUUUUGGAGUUGUAAAAAAGUUUGGUGAGAAAAAACUGAAAAG
rnacentral:misc_RNA from 1 species